ACUCCUACGGGAGGCAGCAGUGGGGAAUUUUGCGCAAUGGGGGAAACCCUGACGCAGCAACGCCGCGUGAGUGAUGAAGGCCUUCGGGUCGUAAAGCUCUGUCAGAGGGGAAGAAAUGCAGGGGUGCUAAUACCAUUUCUGCUUGACGGUACCCUCAAAGGAAGCACCGGCUAACUCCGUGCCAGCAGCCGCGGUAAUACGGAGGGUGCGAGCGUUGUUCGGAAUUAUUGGGCGUAAAGCGCGUGUAGGCGGCUCCUUAAGUCUGAUGUGAAAGCCCCGGGCUCAACCUGGGAAGUGCAUUGGAAACUGGGGAACUUGAAUACGGGAGAGGGUAGUGGAAUUCCUGGUGUAGGAGUGAAAUCCGUAGAUAUCAGGAGGAACACCGGUGGCGAAGGCGGCUACCUGGACCGAUAUUGACGCUGAGACGCGAAAGCGUGGGGAGCAAACAGGAUUAGAUACCCUGGUAGUCCACGCCGUAAACGAUGAGAACUAGGUGUCGCGGGUA
rnacentral:rRNA from 1 species